rnacentral:misc_RNA from 1 species
GAUGAAGAACGUAGCGAAAUGCGAUAAGUAGUGUGAUUUGCAGAAUUCAGUGAAUCAUCGAAUCUUUGAACGCACAUUGCGCCCCUUGGUAUCCCGAGGGGCAUGCCUGUUCGAGCGUCAUUUCACCACUCAAGCCUGGCUUGGUGUUGGGCGACGUCCUCUUUGGGGACGCGCCUCGAAACGCUCGGCGGCGUGGCACCGGCUUUAAGCGUAGCAGAAUCUUUCGCUUGGAAGUCGGGGCCCCGUCUGCCGGAAGACCUGCUCGCAAGGUUGACCUCGGAUCAGGCAGGGAUACCCGCUGAACUUAAGCAUAUCAAUAAGCGGAGGA